rnacentral:lncRNA from 1 species
GUCCUUGACAGUGUCUGUCUCCAUGGAGGAUAGUGGAUUCUGGAGCCAGGAAGCCAGAGAGUAAGCAGGGAAUGAGUGUUUUGGUUUUAAACCAUAUAUGCUGGGUUUAAUGUGGGGAAACUGAUAUCAGGGUCGGUAUCAUUCCCUUUUGCCCAGCUUAGAAUCUAUGACUCGAAAUUAUAUUUACCCAACUGUAAAUAGUUUCAUUUACCUUGUCACUCUCUUAUUUCUUUGUUUUUCAAAAACUUACUUGCAAAUAAAACCUAGCCAUUAACUUUCUCACCUGUGUCUAUCAACCUAGGCAAGGCCAUAAAAAAUUACAAAAACAGAUUGGUAUCAUUAGUAAGUUAAGAUUUUCUGCCUCAGACUCUAAAAAUCACCUGAAACUGUUUCAAAAAACUAUGAUGACUUCAUGCUUCUACAUUCCACAGUGAUUUUCUUCCAAUUUCAUUUUGACGAACUGGGAACCCCUCGUCUUCCAGAUCUACAAACCUAUCUUCUUUAGAAGCCUGAACCUCUUUUUCUCCUGUUUCUCUGGGAGUAGUUUCCCUCCACCUGUGAGACUACAAGUCUCUAUACCCCAUUAAGGGAAGGACAGUAGGCUGAUCCCGUUGGCAGGCCGAGGGAAGGAAACGGAUCUAGCCUAGAUUCUGAGACUUCAAUGUAUAGAUAACAAUUGAAAACCGUGGCUUGUUUGUGAAGUAGAAAAUGAAGCAAUGACAUUAGAUGAUUCCAAAAAGAAGAUUAAUCAAAGUGGAGAAAAGGACAAGAGAAAAAUGAGAAAAAGCCACAUUUUAAAAGGUUUUUGAGAAGGAAGUUGUUAAGUCACAAACACUCUGGUGACUCUGAGAACUGAAAAGUGUCCAUUGGAUUUUCCAAUCUUAAAACCCACCCACAGGAAAAGUUGGGUCUGCAAGCUAGACUUCACAGAUUGUUACCAGCCAGCAACCUCGCAAGCUGUGGCCCACCUGUGACCAUGGCAGAUAGGACAGAAGAUGCAAGAGGGAGAGUCAGUCCCCAUUGCCAUUUUCAGCAUAGUGUUCACAACUCACCAAUAAGCCAACCGCACUCUGACUCAUGCCUGGACAGAACUUACAGAACCUAUGCGUUUCCUCCCUGAGGCAUAUCACGCCUUCUUGUGCUCGGGAACACUGGACGGCACGUUAGUCCCGCACUUGGGGAUCAUUUUAAACUGUAAAAUCACCGAGAAAAAACAUGAAGAUGUGAAAAAUGUGGCACCAAAUAUACUGUGAAAAGGACAACUUGUUUACAAGAUGAGAGCUGAAACAAUAAGGCAGAACAUUGCCUCUUUGACGUCAGCUGGCAAUGUGCAUCUCAGGGAACUUGAAUGCUGUUCUGUGCACAUCCGCAAAUAACCGUGAGAGCAUCGUGAGUGUUGACUAGAGAUACAAAAAGUUUUAGCUAGUAGGAGAAUUAGCCAAUAUGAAUCUGGGAAUAAUAAAUAUCGUCUGUCUCUCUCUAUCUGUCUAUAUCUAUACGUACAAUAUAUACAUACACGAGCAUAUAUACAUAUAUGUAUGUAUACAUAUCUAUACACAUGUAUGCGUAUAUAUAUGAAUAUCUUAUAUAUGUUCUAUAUGAUACUUUUUUAUUCCAUAUUUUAUUUCUCAUCUCUGUUCACGGUGAUGUCUACAGAUCUAGUCUAUUCAUUUUAAUGGAUGCUUAGUAUCUCAUUCUUAACCGCUGUAACUUUUUCCAUGUUGAAGGAAUAAGCACUUUUAUGAUGUCUAAAUCACCCUCAUGUGUGUGUAUCAUCUCUCUGUACCAUCACUUCACUAGAUAUACAGGAUGGAAUAAAUAUUUUUGAUUAUAUAAAA